ACAACGAAGAGUUUGAUCCUGGCUCAGGAUGAACACUAGCGACAGGCUUAACACAUGCAAGUCGAGGGGCAGCACAGGUAGCAAUACCGGGUGGCGACCGGCGCACGGGUGAGUAACGCGUAUGCAACUUACCUAUCAGAGGGGGAUAACCCGGCGAAAGUCGGACUAAUACCGCAUGAAGCAGGGGCCCCGCAUGGGGAUAUUUGCUAAAGAUUCAUCGCUGAUAGAUAGGCAUGCGUUCCAUUAGGCAGUUGGCGGGGUAACGGCCCACCAAACCGACGAUGGAUAGGGGUUCUGAGAGGAAGGUCCCCCACAUUGGUACUGAGACACGGACCAAACUCCUACGGGAGGCAGCAGUGAGGAAUAUUGGUCAAUGGCCGAGAGGCUGAACCAGCCAAGUCGCGUGAGGGAUGAAGGUUCUAUGGAUCGUAAACCUCUUUUAUAAGGGAAUAAAGUGCGGGACGUGUCCCGUUUUGUAUGUACCUUAUGAAUAAGGAUCGGCUAACUCCGUGCCAGCAGCCGCGGUAAUACGGAGGAUCCGAGCGUUAUCCGGAUUUAUUGGGUUUAAAGGGUGCGUAGGCGGCCUUUUAAGUCAGCGGUGAAAGUCUGUGGCUCAACCAUAGAAUUGCCGUUGAAACUGGGGGGCUUGAGUAUGUUUGAGGCAGGCGGAAUGCGUGGUGUAGCGGUGAAAUGCAUAGAUAUCACGCAGAACCCCGAUUGCGAAGGCAGCCUGCCAAGCCAUGACUGACGCUGAUGCACGAAAGCGUGGGGAUCAAACAGGAUUAGAUACCCUGGUAGUCCACGCAGUAAACGAUGAUCACUAGCUGUUUGCGAUACACUGUAAGCGGCACAGCGAAAGCGUUAAGUGAUCCACCUGGGGAGUACGCCGGCAACGGUGAAACUCAAAGGAAUUGACGGGGGCCCGCACAAGCGGAGGAACAUGUGGUUUAAUUCGAUGAUACGCGAGGAACCUUACCCGGGUUUGAACGCAUUCGGACCGAGGUGGAAACACCUUUUCUAGCAAUAGCCGUUUGCGAGGUGCUGCAUGGUUGUCGUCAGCUCGUGCCGUGAGGUGUCGGCUUAAGUGCCAUAACGAGCGCAACCCUUGCCACUAGUUACUAACAGGUAAAGCUGAGGACUCUGGUGGGACUGCCAGCGUAAGCUGCGAGGAAGGCGGGGAUGACGUCAAAUCAGCACGGCCCUUACAUCCGGGGCGACACACGUGUUACAAUGGCGUGGACAAAGGGAGGCCACCUGGCGACAGGGAGCGAAUCCCCAAACCACGUCUCAGUUCGGAUCGGAGUCUGCAACCCGACUCCGUGAAGCUGGAUUCGCUAGUAAUCGCGCAUCAGCCAUGGCGCGGUGAAUACGUUCCCGGGCCUUGUACACACCGCCCGUCAAGCCAUGGGAGCCGGGGGUACCUGAAGUCCGUAACCGCGAGGAUCGGCCUAGGGUAAAACUGGUGACUGGGGCUAAGUCGUAACAAGGUAGCCGUACCGGAAGGUGCGGCUGGAACACCUCCUUU
rnacentral:rRNA from 1 species